AACGAACGCUGGCGGCGCGUCUUAAGCAUGCAAGUCGAACGGCAAGAGAGAAGCUUGCUUCUCUCCUAGAGUGGCGGACUGGUGAGGAACACGUGGGUAAUCUGCCCUUAAGAUGGGGAUAGCUGCUAGAAAUAGCAGGUAAUACCGAAUACACUCGGCGCUUCAUAAGAGGUGUUGAGGAAAGGAAGCUAUGGCUUCGCUUGAGGAUGAGCUUGCGUCCCAUUAGCUAGUUGGUGAGGUAAAGGCUCACCAAGGCGACGAUGGGUAUCCGGCCUGAGAGGGUGAUCGGACACAUUGGGACUGAGAUACGGCCCAAACUCCUACGGGAGGCAGCAGCUAAGAAUAUUCCGCAAUGGACGGAAGUCUGACGGAGCGACGCCGCGUGGAUGAAGAAGGCUGAAAAGUUGUAAAAUCCUUUUGUUGAUGAAGAAUAAGGGUGAGAGGGAAUGCUCAUCUGAUGACGGUAAUCGACGAAUAAGCCCCGGCUAAUUACGUGCCAGCAGCCGCGGUAACACGUAAGGGGCGAGCGUUGUUCGGAAUUAUUGGGCGUAAAGGGCAUGUAGGCGGUUGUGUAAGCCUGGUGUGAAAUCCUGGGGCUUAACCCCAGAAUAGCAUUGGGUACUGCACGACUUGAAUUACGGAAGGGAAACUGGAAUUCCAAGUGUAGGGGUGGAAUCUGUAGAUAUUUGGAAGAACACCGGUGGCGAAGGCGGGUUUCUGGCCGAUAAUUGACGCUGAGAUGCGAAAGUGUGGGGAUCGAACAGG
rnacentral:rRNA from 1 species